rnacentral:rRNA from 1 species
UACGGAGGGUGCAAGCGUUAUCCGGAUUCACUGGGUUUAAAGGGUGCGUAGGUGGGCUGGUAAGUCAGUGGUGAAAUCUCCAGGCUUAACUUGGAAACUGCCAUUGAUACUAUCAGUCUUGAAUACCGUGGAGGUCAGCGGAAUAUGUCAUGUAGCGGUGAAAUGCUUAGAUAUGACAUAGAACACCAAUUGCGAAGGCAGCUCACUACACGAAUAUUGACACUGAGGCACGAAAGCGUGGGGAUCAAACAGG